rnacentral:tRNA from 1 species
CGGGAUGUAGCGCAGCCCGGGUAGCGUACUUGAAUGGGGUUCAAGUGGUCGCUGGUUCAAAUCCAGUCAUCCCGACCA